CUCAGGACGAACGCUGGCGGCGUGCCUAAUACAUGCAAGUAGAACGCUGAAGAGAGGAGCUUGCUCUUCUUGGAUGAGUUGCGAACGGGUGAGUAACGCGUAGGUAACCUGCCUUGUAGCGGGGGAUAACUAUUGGAAACGAUAGCUAAUACCGCAUAACAAUGGAUGACACAUGUCAUUUAUUUGAAAGGGGCAAUUGCUCCACUACAAGAUGGACCUGCGUUGUAUUAGCUAGUAGGUGAGGUAACGGCUCACCUAGGCGACGAUACAUAGCCGACCUGAGAGGGUGAUCGGCCACACUGGGACUGAGACACGGCCCAGACUCCUACGGGAGGCAGCAGUAGGGAAUCUUCGGCAAUGGGGGCAACCCUGACCGAGCAACGCCGCGUGAGUGAAGAAGGUUUUCGGAUCGUAAAGCUCUGUUGUAAGUCAAGAACGAGUGUGAGAGUGGAAAGUUCACACUGUGACGGUAGCUUACCAGAAAGGGACGGCUAACUACGUGCCAGCAGCCGCGGUAAUACGUAGGUCCCGAGCGUUGUCCGGAUUUAUUGGGCGUAAAGCGAGCGCAGGCGGUUUGAUAAGUCUGAAGUUAAAGGCUGUGGCUCAACCAUAGUUCGCUUUGGAAACUGUCAAACUUGAGUGCAGAAGGGGAGAGUGGAAUUCCAUGUGUAGCGGUGAAAUGCGUAGAUAUAUGGAGGAACACCGGUGGCGAAAGCGGCUCUCUGGUCUGUAACUGACGCUGAGGCUCGAAAGCGUGGGGAGCGAACAGGAUUAGAUACCCUGGUAGUCCACGCCGUAAACGAUGAGUGCUAGGUGUUGGAUCCUUUCCGGGAUUCAGUGCCGCAGCUAACGCAUUAAGCACUCCGCCUGGGGAGUACGACCGCAAGGUUGAAACUCAAAGGAAUUGACGGGGGCCCGCACAAGCGGUGGAGCAUGUGGUUUAAUUCGAAGCAACGCGAAGAACCUUACCAGGUCUUGACAUCCCGAUGCUAUUCUAGAGAUAGAAAGUUACUUCGGUACAUCGGUGACAGGUGGUGCAUGGUUGUCGUCAGCUCGUGUCGUGAGAUGUUGGGUUAAGUCCCGCAACGAGCGCAACCCCUAUUGUUAGUUGCCAUCAUUCAGUUGGGCACUCUAGCGAGACUGCCGGUAAUAAACCGGAGGAAGGUGGGGAUGACGUCAAAUCAUCAUGCCCCUUAUGACCUGGGCUACACACGUGCUACAAUGGUUGGUACAACGAGUUGCGAGUCGGUGACGGCAAGCUAAUCUCUUAAAGCCAAUCUCAGUUCGGAUUGUAGGCUGCAACUCGCCUACAUGAAGUCGGAAUCGCUAGUAAUCGCGGAUCAGCACGCCGCGGUGAA
rnacentral:rRNA from 1 species